rnacentral:rRNA from 1 species
UGCUACGGUCAUACCACCAUGAAAACACCCUAUCCCAUCAGAGCUCGGAAGUCAACUGUGGUUGGGCUUGCCUAGUAUUGGGUUGAGGUAUCAUGUGAGAACCCCAAGUGCCACAGCGU